AUGAACGCUGGCGGCGUGCCUAAUACAUGCAAGUCGAGCGAACGGACGAGAAGCUUGCUUCUCUGAUGUUAGCGGCGGACGGGUGAGUAACACGUGGAUAACCUACCUAUAAGACUGGGAUAACUUCGGGAAACCGGAGCUAAUACCGGAUGAUAUUUUGAACCGCAUGGUUCAAAAGUGAAAGACGGUCUUGCUGUCACUUAUAGAUGGAUCCGCGCUGCAUUAGCUAGUUGGUAAGGUAACGGCUUACCAAGGCAACGAUGCAUAGCCGACCUGAGAGGGUGAUCGGCCACACUGGAACUGAGACACGGUCCAGGCUCCUACGGGAGGCAGCAGUAGGGAAUCUUCCGCAAUGGGCGAAAGCCUGACGGAGCAACGCCGCGUGAGUGAUGAAGGUCUUCGGAUCGUAAAACUCUGUUAUUAGGGAAGAACAUAUGUGUAAGUAACUGUGCACAUCUUGACGGUACCUAAUCAGAAAGCCACGGCUAACUACGUG
rnacentral:rRNA from 1 species